UACAGAGGGGGCAAGCGUUGUUCGGAAUUAUUGGGCGUAAAGCGCGUGUAGGCGGUCCGGUAAGUCCGCUGUGAAAGUCGGGGGCUCAACCCUCGAAUGCCGGUGGAUACUGUCGGGCUAGAGUGCGGAAGAGGCGAGUGGAAUUCCUGGUGUAGCGGUGAAAUGCGCAGAUAUCAGGAGGAACACCAAUUGCGAAGGCAGCUCGCUGGGACGUAACUGACGCUGAGACGCGAAAGCGUGGGGAGCAAACAGG
rnacentral:rRNA from 1 species